AUGAACGCUGGCGGCGUGCCUAAUACAUGCACGUCGAGCGAACAGACGAGGAGCUUGCUCCUCUGACGUUAGCGGCGGACGGGUGAGUAACACGUGGAUAACCUACCUAUAAGACUGGGAUAACUUCGGGAAACCGGAGCUAAUACCGGAUAAUAUAUUGAACCGCAUGGUUCAAUAGUGAAAGACGGUUUUGCUGUCACUUAUAGAUGGAUCCGCGCCGCAUUAGCUAGUUGGUAAGGUAACGGCUUACCAAGGCAACGAUGCGUAGCCGACCUGAGAGGGUGAUCGGCCACACUGGAACUGAGACACGGUCCAGACUCCUACGGGAGGCAGCAGUAGGGAAUCUUCCGCAAUGGGCGAAAGCCUGACGGAGCAACGCCGCGUGAGUGAUGAAGGUCUUCGGAUCGUAAAACUCUGUUAUUAGGGAAGAACAAAUGUGUAAGUAACUAUGCACGUCUAGACGGUACCUAAUCAGAAAGCCACGGCUAACUACGUG
rnacentral:rRNA from 1 species